GUUGGGCGCGGUGGCUCACGCCUGUAAUCCCAGCACUUUGGGAGGCUGAGGUGGGCGGAUCACCUGAGGUCAGGAGUUCAAGACCAGCCUGACCAACAUGGUGAAACCCCAUCUCUA
rnacentral:SRP_RNA from 1 species